UUCGAUCAUGGCUCAGAUUGAACGCUGGCGGGAUGCUUUACAUGCAAGUCGAACGGCAGCACGGACUUCGGUCCUGGUGGCGAGUGGCGAACGGGUGAGUAAUGUAUCGGAACGGUGUACUAUUAGUAGCGAGAGGGAUAACUGCGCAGCAAGCGUAGCUAUACCAUAUCACCCUUCGGGGAAAGCGGGGGACGGCUGUUUCACUGUUAGAGCGGCCGAUAUCGGAUUGGCUGGUUGGUGGGGUAACGGCUCGCAAGGCGUAAUCUGUAUUUGGUUUGAGAGGACGACCAGCCACAGGACUGAACGGCCCAGACUCCUACGGGAGGCAACGGUAAAUUUUGGACAAUGGGGGAAACCCUGAUCAACCAUCCGCGUGUGCGAUGAGCCUUCGGGUUGCUGCGCCUUUUGGCAGGAAAGAAAACAGCGCGGGAUAAUACAUCUGGCAGGCAAUACCUGGAAUGGCACCGGCUAACUGCGUACAAUACAACCGUAUGCUGUCAGAUUGCUGGCGUUAAUCGGAAUUGGAGCGCUCUUUAAAAGCGUGCCGGGCGGUUCGGAAAGAAGAUGUGAAAUCCCGAACAACUUUGGAACUGCAUUUUUAACUACCGAGCUAGAGUGUGUCAGAGGUAAAUUCCGCGUGUAGCAGUGAAAUGCGUAGAUAUACGGAGGAACACCGAUGGCGAAGGCAGCCUCCUGGGAUAACACUGACGCUCAUGCACGAAAGCGUGGGGGCAAACAGGAUUAAAUACCCUGGUAGUCCGCCUAAACAGUGUCAGCUGGCUGUUUGGGGCCUUCCGGGCCUUGGUAAGCACCCAGCACCUAACGCAUGGGGAGUUGACCGCCUGGGAAAUACAAUUACAGAUUAAACUCAAGAAUUGACGGGGACCCGCACAAGCGGUGGAUGAUGUGGAUUAAUUCGAUGCAACGCGAAAAACCUUACCUACCCCUCGACAUGUCUGGAAUCCAAAAGAGAUUUGGGAGUGCUCGCAAGAGAACCGGAACACAGGUGCUGCAUGGCUGUCAUCAACUCGUGUCGUGAGAUGUUGAGUUAGAGAUCCGCAACGAGCGCAACCCUUGUCAUUAGUUGCUACGAAAGGGCACUCUAAUGAGACUGCCGGUGACAAACUGGAAGAAUUGAGAUGGCAUCAAGUCAUCACUGUGGCCCUUAUGGGUAGGGCUUCACGUCUGCAAUGGUCGGGACGGAGGGUCAUAACCACAAGAAGGAGCCAAUCCAGAAAAUCGAUCGUAGUCCGGAUCGCAGUCUGCGCUCCGACUACGUGAAGUCGGAAUCGCUAGUAAUCGCGGAUCAGCAUGUCGCAGUAGACCCGAUCCAGGUCUUGUACACAUAUGCGCACCAUGGGAGUGGGUUUUUACCAGAAGUAGUUGGCCCACAACUGCAUGGGAAGACAGUUACCACCCAUUCAGGAUUCAUGACUGGGGUGGAAGUCAUACUCGGUAACUC
rnacentral:rRNA from 1 species